rnacentral:rRNA from 1 species
UACGUAGGGGGCUAGCGUUGUCCGGAAUCAUUGGGCGUAAAGCGCGUGUAGGCGGUCCGGUAAGUCCGCUGUGAAAGUCGGGGGCUCAACCCUCGAAUGCCGGUGGAUACUGUCGGGCUAGAGUGCGGAAGAGGCGAGUGGAAUUCCCGGUGUAGCGGUGAAAUGCGCAGAUAUCGGGAGGAACACCGGUGGCGAAGGCGGUUCUCUGGGCCUUACCUGACGCUCAGCCACGAAAGCAUGGGGAGCGAACGGG